rnacentral:rRNA from 1 species
CAGCGUAGGGGGCGAGCGUUGUCCGGAUUUAUUGGGCGUAAAGAGCUCGUAGGCGGCUCGGUAAGUCAGGUGUGAAAACUCUAGGCUCAACCUAGAGACGCCACCUGAUACUGCCGUGGCUAGAGUCCGGUAGGGGAGCAUGGAAUUCCUGGUGUAGCGGUGAAAUGCGCAGAUAUCAGGAGGAACACCAGCGGCGAAGGCGGCGCUCUGGGCCGGUACUGACACUGAGGAGCGAAAGCGUGGGUAGCAAACAGG